AGACCAUGGUGGGGACAUUUCCUAAGUAGUUCCUUAAAACUCUUCCAUGACUCAUAUAAGGUUUCAUUAUCAAUUUGUAAAAAAGUUGUUAUGUCAUUCCUUAAUUU
rfam:Nelumbo nucifera unplaced genomic scaffold scaffold00160, whole genome shotgun sequence